GACGUGUGCAUAUGUGCGCGUAAAGUAACAAUUCUUUAGAAGUUUGUAGUGAUGUAAUUGAAUCCAUACAAUAACUUUUUAAAGGGUUUCUGAAUUUUGAUUUAGAGUGUGACUAUAAUAAAGUUGAUAUGAUAAAUUGUUGUUUUUUCAGCAACUAGAGCAUGGCAAGGCGUGAAAAGUAGCCUUAGAUAUUAGUGGAGACUACAAUCCAUGGCAUGGUUACCACAUCACUAGGUAUUUGUCUCAUUCUUCUUUCCAAAAAAAAAUAGUAAAUUGAUAACUAGUCCUUCCAUUGAUCAGACUAUAACUUUUAGUCUCCAUUGGCUGAAACUUUUACAGCCACCUCAAGUUUCAAAGUUUCUUUAAUUUCUGGUCCCUAGUGGUUGUAUGCACUUAUUCUCCAAUACGUACACAAUUGCAUAAGUAUAUGCAGGGAUAAUAUAAUUGUUUACAAGGAGAAUAUAACUGUGUACAAAACUAAUUUUUAACUAUAU
rnacentral:lncRNA from 1 species